UACGUAGGUGGCAAGCGUUGUCCGGAUUUACUGGGCGUAAAGAGCGCGCAGGCGGUCGUUCAAGUCGCGUGUGAAAGCCCCCGGCUCAACUGGGGAGGGUCACGCGAUACUGAUCGACUCGAAGGCAGGAGAGGGUAGUGGAAUUCCCGGUGUAGUGGUGAAAUGCGUAGAUAUCAGGAAGAACACCAACGGCGAAGGCAGCUCGCUAGGACGGUACUGACGCUGAGACGCGAAAGCGUGGGGAGCGAACAGG
rnacentral:rRNA from 1 species